rnacentral:rRNA from 1 species
AUUGAACGCUGGCGGCAUGCUUUACACAUGCAAGUCGAGCGGCAGCGCGGGGGCAACCCUGGCGGCGAGCGGCGAACGGGUGAGUAAUGCACCGGAACGUACCCUGGAGUGGGGGAUAACGCCGCGAAAGCGGCGCUAAUACCGCAUAUGCUCUGAGGAGGAAAGUGGGGGACCGCAAGGCCUCACGCUCUGGGAGCGGCCGAUGUCCGAUUUGCUAGGUGGUGGGGUAAAGGCUUACCAAGGCGACGAUCGGUAGCUGGUCUGAGGGGAUGAUCAGCCACAUUGGGACUGAGACACGGCCCAGACUCCUACGGGAGGCAGCAGUGGGGAAUUUUGGACAAUGGGGGCAACCCUGAUCCAGCCAUGCCGCGUGAGUGAAGAAGGCCUUCGGGUUGUAAACUGCUUUUGUACGGAGCGAAAAGGCCUCCUCUAAUACAGGGGGCUCAUGACGGUACCGUAAGAAUAAGCACCGGCUAACUCUGUGCCAGCAGCCGCCGUAAUAC